GAUGAAGAACGUAGCGAAAUGCGAUAAGUAGUGUGAAUUGCAGAAUUCAGUGAAUCAUCGAAUCUUUGAACGCACAUUGCGCCCCUUGGUAUCCCGAGGGGCAUGCCUGUUCGAGCGUCAUUUCACCACUCAAGCCUGGCUUGGUGUUGGGCGACGUCCUCUUUGGGGACGCGCCUCGAAACGCUCGGCGGCGUGGCACCGGCUUUAAGCGUAGCAGAAUCUUUCGCUUUGGAAGUCGGGGCCCCGUCUGCCGGAAGACCUGCUCGCAAGGUUGACCUCGGAUCAGGCAUGGAUACCCGCUGAACUUAAGCAUAUCAAUAAGCGGAGGA
rnacentral:misc_RNA from 1 species